GUGCAGUAAUAACAGCAAUUCAAAAACCGACCGACCUUGCAACAUUCCAGUUGCGUUAUGCAAUCAACCAGAACUUAAAUACUGAACUGUGUGGGGGGCAGACAUUUAGAUAAAACUGUCAUACUCAAUUUGUAAAUUUGUAGACAUUGACUGGCACUGUAUUGAGGCAUGUGUGACCUUGUUGGGUAAUGUACCUGGGAAUCGGGAUUGUAAUUGAAGGCAAAUCUAGUAACUGGAUGACCUGGGUUAAUGUGGACAAUAGGUGCUAAUGGUAACUAUGACAUACAGUAGUUCGUAAUUGCAAAAAUCAUCUAGACAACAUGGUCAACUCCUCGGAUUUAACAUUGGAACGUCUAUCCGUGCCUAAGCGGUGCAUCAUGGGAAUCCAAGGAGUUCUGGUAGCGACUUUUCCCCUAUUUAUAUAAUUUUUUUAUUCCAAUGCAUAAGAGCCCCCCUUUACUCCACAGUGGCCUCUGCUGGUAGAGAUGAGAAUACAGUCACCAUGCCCUAGAUACCCUCCCUGUUACACAGUCAGCAUCUAGACACUUGAAAGACCUCCGACAGAGCUCUGACAUCAGCAGUAACAAUACAGCAUCUAUGAUUCCAACACUGGCUUGCAAGCUAUGCCUGAGGAAGAAACUGGGGCGUUUGAGGCUAGCUAGGAAAGGCAAGUCUAUAAUUGCUGGGGAUGACAUAUACUAGUGUAGAGAACCCACAUCAAAUCAGUUGCAAAAUCAUGUGCUUGUUUGAUGUUCAUACAAAAAAAGUGAUUGAAUUCACAGCCAUUUGCGGGGGAAAAAAUUACUGCUUAUAAAAAAUGCAGUAUGCUUCACGCUUUUUGAUUUGUAAUCAAAGGCCGUCAUGAGAAUGAAUUCUUUGUUACGUAUGUAGUUUUUUAAAAACCUCUGGGUACUAGCUAAAAUACAGUAUGACUCAAUAUGUUUAAUAUGUUUGUUAAAGUAUAGUACAGUUUAACUUGGCCUGUAAUAUAGUGACAGAAGAUAGGGAUUAGCGAUGGGCAGCUGGCCUUUAUCGUGUGGCUUUAUUUCUAGGAAAUGUAUUUCCAAAACAAAAAUGUUAAGGACUGUUGAGAUGUACUGUAACUACUUACACAAAUUGUUCUGUCUCCUUUUUUUAUUUUUUAAUUCACCAGAUUCCAGCACUUUCCAGUGGAAAGACCAACAUAUUUGCCUCCCUUUCUCAUGAUAUAGAAAAGUGUAAUCAAGAAACAACAGCACAGAAACUCCCUUAUAUUAUGUGUUAUGGCAAAGGGCGGGUGAUUUUUACAUUGUUGUGGCUUUGCAAUGAAAAGGGUAACUUUGGGCAAUGUCAGCUUCUAACAUUGUAUUAUGCCGAAAUUCUUUUCUUCUAAAGUUACUGCCUCUCUGUAUAUACUACCAGGUGUUUCCCUAUACAUGUACAUUUAACUAUUUGGAAAGACCAAUUAUUAUUAUUUUUUUUUAUUUCAACCUGGCUCACCACUGCCACCCCAACGCUGACUGGGGAGAGACGAAGAUGGACAUACACGUCCUCUGUAAUGUGUGCUGUCAGCCGUCCUCUACUUUUCACUCUGCAGGCCCGCCAUGCAGCCACCUCAGAGCUACAGCAUCGGAGGACCACGCAGCUCCGGGGAACUUACAGGCAAGCCCGCAGGCUCCCGGACAGUCUACAGGGGUGGCUGGUGUGCUGUGAGCUGAGGACACCCUGGCCAUCCUAAGCCCCCCUCUCCACCCGGGCGGCGCUUGGCCAAUUGUGCGCUGCCCCCUGGGAACUCCCGUCCACGGUCAGAAGUGGAAUAGUCUGGACUUGAACCGGCGCCCUCCAGGCUAUAGGGCGCAUCCUGGACUCCACGUGGAGUGCCUUUACCGGAUGCCACUCGGGAAUUCUCCCAAACAGUUUUUUUUUUUUACUGGUUCUAACCUUCUUCAAACCUAAAAGCGAAAUGCAAAUGGCCUCCUCAGUGUGUGUCACUGCCUUCUUUUUUGUUGAACAUUUAUUCACAGGAAUCUGGCAUUCUCCAACAGCGCUGAAUGCGUUUGGACUUGCUAUGAAGCUGGAUUGCGAUAAUUCCUGUCAUAGCCCCCGGGCUAUCAUUGGCAGUCUUCACCUCAAUUUCCGUUCUUCCCUGUAAAGAAAAAGUAAAUCCAGUCAGACUGACGUACAGAAACACUUUCUCAUGUUAUCAGCGCAACGCUAACAGACUUCUGACCUGCACAGCCAAUCAGUCUACCCACAAUGGGAUUCAUGUUAAUGUCCAGUCACCUGUCCUGCCGGUGAACAAUGGUUAAAGUAGCUUCAAAUUACAUUUUCAAAGUUAAUUUUUUUUCCUACCCGCUUUAUUAUUUUAUGAUUUUUGCAAUAUUGUGCGUGUUGAGUUUAGGAGCUGCUGUUCAUAGACAUAGGUAACCCAUGAUCUUUACACAAAGAGUCUUGUAAGGUAGAAAGGAUCAAGUUUAUUUUUGUGUUGCUAGCAAUACACAUCUGUGCACUGGAUGCUCUCUCUACUAUAGAGACACUUUGACUGAUCAAUCCUGAACCUUGGUACUGGAGAAUAUGUCUGCUUGUGGCCAGUCACUGGCAGUUCCAUUGGUGCCAUGGCUCAGACACUAUCUGAAUUCCAAUCACAUUGUAGCCACAACUUUAAACACUCCUCAUAAAAGCUAGGUAAAUCAAAAUAAACUUUGUAUUGGAGGAGACAAACAUGUUUUUACAAAAGUAUCAGAAAAGACAUUUGCCUACUAGAUCAAUGAUGUUUUACUACUGUUACAGAAAACUGGGUAAACAGGCCUGAGCCAUUUCUACAGUGGUUAAGACGCUCGUACGGGGAUACAAGAAAGAUUUUAAGCAAAUCUGUUUUACUGGCAAUAGUUCUAUAUUCCAAUGUAUCACUAUUAUAUUAUUGAAGGGACAAAUAAAACCGCUUUUUAAUAUGUUUAAUAUGUAAAACAGCUAUUCGGAAGCGAUUUAAAUGGGUCUCUUUAGACAGAUGUAUGAAAUGCACCUGUGACUAGCCAUAGUAAUAAUGCUAUUAUACAAGAGAAGUCCAGUUUUUAUUGCGGAUAUAGGAUUCAGAUAACAAGGGCAGCUGUUGAACCCUAAUGGCAUGCAGAACUGUGAGAAAGUAGCUGUUUCAAUCCUUGCACUUAACAAAGACUUUCUUGUGUCAAAAUUGUUAAUCUGUGAAUAAUAUCCAUUUAAAUCUGUAGUGUGCAAAAAAUAUCAUAAUGGUUACUUCAUAAAUAAAAAAAGAGGUUUGCCUUUU